rnacentral:lncRNA from 10 species
GCCGUGGUCACAGAAGAGCUUUUGUUCAUAUAGAGCCGACUGGCUCAGGUGGACAGCCAGCACAUGAGGGCGCCAUCAGCCUGACAUCUGACUGUCAGCCGUGGCCACAUUAGCACAAAGCUCUUGGCCUUUCAGAGCACCCUCGGGAAGAUGGGGAAGACCAAAAAGAUUGGGACCAAGACAAGAGGCAAGGUCUCAGGCUGGUCUUAAACUCCUGGUAUUGAGCAAUCUUCCCGCCUCGGCCUCCCAAAGUGCUGAGAUCACAGGUGUGAGCACCAUGUCCAGCCUGUCUUCUUGAUGACAGAGGAUCAUAUCUGUAUUCUUCAUCCUUACAUGCGCAGCAUGUGACAUACAGCAAACAUUCAAUACAUAACUGAAUGCAUGAAUAGAAGCAUGGCUGUGUACUCAGUACUCACAGGCUUUGAAAAAAAGUGAAGACCCAGUUCCUACAUUCAAGAGUUUACCGAUGAAGACAACCUAGAUCACCUUCAUCCUUCACCCACAAAAACACCCCUAAGAGCCAGGUAACACUGACCCUGUCUAAUGCAAAAUCAAGAUCAUUAACUCGGGACAUGAUAAAUCACUUGCCAGAGGCUACCAGCUGACCUGGCUGUGAUUCUCACACGAGGCUUGGGUUCACUCUACCUACUCAUUACCCAGCUCAAGCCAACACCUGCUUCUGCCCUACUUGCAAGUCCCAAGCAGAAAGAGUGCAACCAGAACACAUAUGGAAACAGGAAUGAGCUGAGGGAUGGUGGUUGGUGGCAGAGAAGAACUCAUAGUGAACUAAUGGAACUAACGGUGCUGGGCUCAGUGCUGGCAUCUCUGUAGGACCCUGCCCUGCCAAAAGGCACAGAUAGUGAGAUUUCAACCUGCACAACCUGCAGAUGGUACUAAUUGAUACAUGUUCCAGCUUAAACUACUUCUGUCUGCUCAGCAGCUGCUCUCAAGAGUAUGGGCUGGAAAGAGGUUCAUACCCUUCCUCCUUGAUCUGAUGGUAACUACACAGAGGCAACAUCAAACAUGCAUUUAACUUGGGAAAAUUAAACCAUGGGUCCUUGCACAAUCAAUAAAGAGAGGGACAGAAAGAUUAUCCUCUGACAGCAUGAGCAACUCAGAACUGGGUGAGAUUCUAGUGCUGAGAGAUUUGGACUUUCCACACAGCUGGCUCCUAAACUCAAGUCUCAUUUUGGGUGGUGC